UACGAAGGGGGCUAGCGUUGCUCGGAAUUACUGGGCGUAGAGCGCACGUAGGCGGAUCGUUAAGUCGGGGGUGAAAUCCUGGAGCUCAACUCCAGAACUGCCUUCGAUACUGGCGAUCUCGAGUUCGGGAGAGGUGAGUGGAACUGCGAGUGUAGAGGUGAAAUUCGUAGAUAUUCGCAAGAACACCAGUGGCGAAGGCGGCUCACUGGCCCGAUACUGACGCUGAGGUGCGAAAGCGUGGGGAGCAAACAGG
rnacentral:rRNA from 1 species